ACUCAUGAACAAAAUACACAGCUGUAACAACUAUGAAAAUGUAAACAACAAAGAUCGGGCCCCGGUUCCGGACCCAGCGUACCCGCCCUACCAUGAGACGAUCACCUCCACUCGUCUCCCUCAUUUUGGCCACCAAAUGGCCUAUAUUAGCCCGUGUCGGCCAUAAUGCCCACUCUCCCCAGCAAUAUUAUUUUAGCCGGACAUGAUUUCUUUCAAUAGCUGUUUAGGAUCUCAUGCAAGCGGAUAAUUCAUUAACUUCACAGAAUUAAUUUUUUUUAUUUUUUUACAACACUGAAUGGAACAGACGACGAAACACUACAAGGAUAUUGCUAGUCGCCGCAAAAGAAACGCGCAAUGAGGCACUUUAGAGGCAAUCGUUGCCCCGAUUUAGGAACAAUGGCCCGCACAAUUACUUAAAACUGGAGCUCUCUGGGGGUGGUAAGGGGCGAUAUAAAUGCGUAAAUUCAAAUUAGGCGCAGAUGCAUCACCGUUGGAGUUUUCCUCACCGUUCGCACUCUAAAGUGAAGCUCGGCGUAAGUGCCUAUGGAGUGCAAUUAGGAGUCUUCUUCUGACUCUGCCAGGGGCUCGAACGAGGAUGGG